rnacentral:rRNA from 1 species
CCACGCCCUAAACGAUGUCAAUUAGCUGUUGGGGUGCAUGACACCUUAGUAGCGUAGCUAACGCGUGAAAUUGACCGCCUGGGGAGUACGGUCGCAAGAUUAAAACUCAAAGGAAUUGACGGGGACCCGCACAAGCGGUGGAUGAUGUGGAUUAAUUCGAUGCAACGCGAAGAACCUUACCUGGUCUUGACAUGUACGGAAUCCUCCAGAGACGGAGGAGUGCCUUCGGGAGCCGUAACACAGGUGCUGCAUGGCUGU